rnacentral:rRNA from 1 species
GGGCCCGCACAAGCGGUGGAGUAUGUGGUUUAAUUCGAUGCAACGCGAAGAACCUUACCAGGGUUUGACAUCCUGCGAAUCUCUUGGAAACAGGAGAGUGCCUUCGGGAACGCAGUGACAGGUGGUGCAUGGCUGUCGUCAGCUCGUGUCGUGAGAUGUUGGGUUAAGUCCCGCAACGAGCGCAACCCACGUCUUUAGUUGCCAGCAUUUAGUUGGGCACUCUAGAGAGACUGCCGGUGAUAAACCCGGAGGAAGGUGUGGAUGACGUCAAGUCAUCAUGCCCCUUACAUCCUGGGCUACACACGUACUACAAUGGGCGAGACAAUGAGAUGCAAACCUGCGAGGGUAAG